rnacentral:rRNA from 1 species
UGGGGAAUAUUGCACAAUGGGCGCAAGCCUGAUGCAGCCAUGCCGCGUGUGUGAAGAAGGCCUUCGGGUUGUAAAGCACUUUCAGCGGGGAGGAAGGCGAUAAGGUUAAUAACCUUGUCGAUUGACGUUACCCGCAGAAGAAGCACCGGCUAACUCCGUGCCAGCAGCCGCGGUAAUACGGAGGGUGCAAGCGUUAAUCGGAAUUACUGGGCGUAAAGCGCACGCAGGCGGUCUGUCAAGUCGGAUGUGAAAUCCCCGGGCUUAACCUGGGAACUGCAUUCGAAACUGGCAGGCUAGAGUCUUGUAGAGGGGGGUAGAAUUCCAGGUGUAGCGGUGAAAUGCGUAGAGAUCUGGAGGAAAACCGGUGGCGAAGGCGGCCCCCUGGACAAAGACUGACGCUCAGGUGCGAAAGCGUGGGGAGCAAACAGG